AUGUGGCUAUGUUUUCAGUCAGGUGUAAAUUUAGGAUGGCUAAUGAAAAAAUAUAUUUUACUAAUUUUCUAUAAAAAUUGAUAAACCUGAGACACAAAUAUAAUAUAUUUUACAGGUUAGAGAUAUAUUUAACACAAUUUCAUAAGUCAAAGUCACUCAUAAAAAAAAUUAUUCAAUUUUUAGUUUCAUUAUUCCCCUUUUUUUGGAAGGUAAAAUGUGACAUUGCAUAGGGUCUUAUAUUAAACGGUUGUAUGAGCCUAUUAAAUCUUACUGUACAGACACAGUUCUCUUGCUAAUUUUACUAGCGAUGUUUCUUCAAUAAAAAUCAGUUUUUUUAGUUGCCAUGGAAACUGUCUUUAAUUAAUAAAAGUUAAAAUUAAAAUUGCGUGUCGGACGAACUCUUGUCUGUCCAAUUUACACUGGCCAAAAAUGAUUGAAUUGACAGAUGUUGCAUGCGUGUUUAAAGCUUCUUGCCGCUUUUCAGCUGUAGAUAUGCACUUUCUUGCAUGAUAAAAUUCAUUUCUAUCCAGAUAACAUUGUUUUUCUGUGAAAUAUGUUAAAUCAAUUAAAUCUUCUCCUUUGUCUGUCCUAUGUUACGGGCGAAAAUUGUAAACUUAAACACCGAUUUUUUCAAUCAACGGACCUCUCUGGGGCCCCUUUUACGACAUUCAUGUCUUGAGAUGGAAGAAAACGAGUGUAUCACGUGUUUACCGCAAACCAGUCUGUUUACAAGAUGGACGGAGGCAAGGAAAAAUAGUUGUCCGUCUCACUAAAGUAUUAUUUACCAAAGAGACAGUUGAAGAUCUUGAGAGGAACUUCAUAGCAGCUAUAUAUAGAUUAUUUCAAUAAUUACCUGAAUAAAUAUCUUUUAGAUGGAGAUAGAUCA